UGGGGCACAGCAUUGUGUGUGGCUGUAAAUCACAACAACACAGUGCUCUGCCACUGGA
ensembl:miRNA gga-mir-12208 gga-mir-12208